CAGUAGCCGCGGGAAUACGUAGGGUGCAAGCGUUAAUCGGAAUUACUGGGCGUAAAGCGUGCGCAGGCGGUUAUAUAAGACAGAUGUGAAAUCCCCGGGCUCAACCUGGGAACUGCAUUUGUGACUGUAUAGCUAGAGUACGGCAGAGGGGGAUGUAAUUCCGCGUGUAGCAGUGAAAUGCGUAGAUAUGCGGAGGAACACCGAUGGCGAAGGCAAUCCCCUGGGCCUGUACUGACGCUCAUGCACGAAAGCGUGGGGAGCAAACAGGAUUAGAUACCCCAGUAGUCCCUGUCUCUUAUAC
rnacentral:rRNA from 1 species